GACGAACGCUGGCGGCGUGCUUAACACAUGCAAGUCGAACGGAAAGGCCCUGCUUUUGUGGGGUGCUCGAGUGGCGAACGGGUGAGUAACACGUGAGUAACCUGCCCUUGACUUUGGGAUAACUUCAGGAAACUGGGGCUAAUACCGGAUAGGAGCUCCUGCUGCAUGGUGGGGGUUGGAAAGUUUCGGCGGUUGGGGAUGGACUCGCGGCUUAUCAGCUUGUUGGUGGGGUAGUGGCUUACCAAGGCUUUGACGGGUAGCCGGCCUGAGAGGGUGACCGGCGACAUUGGGACUGAGAUACGGCCCAGACUCAUACGGGAGGCAGCAGUGGGGAAUAUUGCACAAUGGGCGGAAGCAUGAUGCAGAAACGCCGCGUGCGGGAUGACGGCCUUCGGGUUGUAAAACGCUUUCGCCUGUGACGAAGCGUGAGUGACGGUAAUGGGUAAAGAAGCACCGGCUAACUACGUG
rnacentral:rRNA from 1 species